GCUGGGUGUGGUGGUGCACGCCUGUAAUCCUAGCUACUCUGGAGGCUGAGGUGCAAGAAUUGCUUGAACCCAGGAGACGGGAGUUGCAGUGAGCUGAAAUCGUGCCACUGCACUCCAGCCUGGGCAACAGAGUGAGACUUUGUCUCAA
rnacentral:SRP_RNA from 1 species